GACGAACGCUGGCGGCGUGCUUUACACAUGCAAGUCGAACGGUGAAGGUGGAGCUUGCUCCGCCGGAUCAGUGGCGAACGGGUGAGUAACACGUGGGCAACCUGCCCCUAACUUUGGGAUAACUACUCGAAAGAGUAGCUAAUACCGGAUAUGAAGUCUGUAGGCAUCUAUGGAUUUGGAAAGUUUUUCGGUUAGGGAUGGGCCCGCGGCCUAUCAGCUUGUUGGUGAGGUAGUGGCUCACCAAGGCGACGACGGGUAGCCGGCCUGAGAGGGCGACCGGCCACACUGGGACUGAGACACGGCCCAGACUCCUACGGGAGGCAGCAGUGGGGAAUAUUGCGCAAUGGGCGAAAGCCUGACGCAGCAACGCCGCGUGCGGGAUGAAGGCCUUCGGGUUGUGAACCGCUUCCAGCAGGGAAGAAGCGAAAGUGACGGUACCUGCAGAAGAAGCACCGGCUAACUACGUGCCAGCCGCCGCAGUAA
rnacentral:rRNA from 1 species